UACGUAGGGUGCAAGCGUUGUCCGGAAUUAUUGGGCGUAAAGAGCUCGUAGGCGGUCUGUCGCGUCGGCUGUGAAAUCCCGGAGCUCAACUCCGGGCCUGCAGUCGAUACGGGCAGACUGGAGUUCGGCAGGGGAGACUGGAAUUCCUGGUGUAGCGGUGAAAUGCGUAGAUAUCAAGUGGAACACCAGUGGCGAAGGCGAGUCUCUGGACAUUUCCUGACGCUGAGGCACGAAAGCCAGGGGAGCAAACGGG
rnacentral:rRNA from 1 species